rnacentral:rRNA from 1 species
UACGUAGGGUGCGAGCGUUAAUCGGAAUUACUGGGCGUAAAGCGUGCGCAGGCGGCGCGUUAAGACAGGUGUGAAAGCCCCGAGCUUAACUUGGGAAUUGCGCUUGUGACUGGCGUGCUGGAGUGUGGCAGAGGGAGGUGGAAUUCCACGUGUAGCAGUGAAAUGCGUAGAGAUGUGGGGGAACACCGAUGGCGAAGGCAGCCUCCUGGGCCAGCACUGACGCUCAUGCACGAAUGCGUGGGGAGCAAACAGG